rnacentral:tRNA from 1 species
GCUCAGUUGGUUAAGUGUCUGACUCUUGAUUUUGGCUCAGGACAUGAUCUCAGGGUUGUGGGAUCAAGCCCCGCAUUGGGCU